UAGGGAAUCUUCGGCAAUGGACGAAAGUCUGACCGAGCAACGCCGCGUGAGUGAAGAAGGUUUUCGGAUCGUAAAACUCUGUUGUUAGAGAAGAACAAGGACGUUAGUAACUGAACGUCCCCUGACGGUAUCUAACCAGAAAGCCACGGCUAACUACGUGCCAGCAGCCGCGGUAAUACGUAGGUGGCAAGCGUUGUCCGGAUUUAUUGGGCGUAAAGCGAGCGCAGGCGGUUUCUUAAGUCUGAUGUGAAAGCCCCCGGCUCAACCGGGGAGGGUCAUUGGAAACUGGGAGACUUGAGUGAAGAAGAGGAGAGUGGAAUUCCAUGUGGAGCGGUGAAAUGCGUAGAUAUAUGGAGGAACACCAGUGGCGAAGGCGGCUCUCUGGUCUGUAACUGACGCUGAGGCUCGAAAGCGUGGGGAGCAAACAGG
rnacentral:rRNA from 1 species